GGGAUUACCUGGGUGUGUCUAAGGUGUUUUUUUUCUUCCCUUUUUCUAAACACCUUAGACACACCCAGGUAAUCCUCA
rnacentral:miRNA from 1 species